ensembl:snRNA U6 U6 spliceosomal RNA
GUGCUCGCUUCAGCGGCACAUAAACUAAAACUGGAACGAUACAGAGAAGAUCAGCACGGCCCCUGUGCCAGGAGGACACGUAAACUCGUGAAGCAUUCCAUAUUUUU